rnacentral:rRNA from 1 species
UACGAAGGGGGCUAGCGUUGUUCGGAUUUACUGGGCGUAAAGCGCACGUAGGCGGAUCGUUAAGUCGGGGGUGAAAUCCUGGAGCUCAACUCCAGAACUGCCUUCGAUACUGGCGAUCUUGAGUCCGGAAGAGGUGAGUGGAACUCCUAGUGUAGAGGUGGAAUUCGUAGAUAUCAGGAGGAACACCGAUGGCGAAGGCAGGUCUCUGGGCUGACACUGACGCUCAUGCACGAAAGCGUGGGGAGCAAACAGG